rnacentral:lncRNA from 1 species
UAGUUUCAAAUACAUCAAAUAAUCUAGCUAGAUCGUCACACCAAUUAAAAUAUUACAAUCUCAUAAAAAGCAAACCGUUACGACAUUACAAAGUUCAUAACCAACAUGACUGGAGGAAAAACAACAAAUUACAACACCAAAAUGUUUUGCAUCACUAAACCCUAAAUUAACAUAAACUGAGCAUCACCAAACUGUCAACAUAAGCCGAGCAUCACCAAAAUGAAUUGAAAGGCCACAAACUAAAUGUACUGCAUCACCUAACUGCAAACAAAAUAAAAAGAAAAAAAAAUUUAUUUUUGUAGCAUAAUGACCUUCUCCAUUCUCCAAUCAAUAAAUGUCGAAGAAUAAAACAUAAUCACCUGGAUAACAUAGCAUAUUAUAUAUAUAACUGAAAAAAGAGCAUCAACAUAUGAAAAGGAGCAUCAACUAGCUAGUCUACACAAAUACACAAUCUUCUUCUUAAUAUCAUUUGCGUGCAAUAAGAUGAUAGUAAGCCUUUUAUUUCACAUGGAUCACAUGAAAAAAAUGAACUUAAGUUGAAGAUCUUACCAAUUACCAAUAAGCCAACACAAUAAUCCAACAUUCCAACAAGCCAACAACAUAACCUGAAAUCAAAUUCAAACACACACGUUAAGACUGAUAUUUAGAAAAGUAAUACAAAAUUCAUAAAGUUAAACAAGAUAACACAAAAUUAUAACUAUUCAAGAUGUUACUAUAUACUUACAUCGUCAAACUUAUUUUAAACUUGAAACACAAAAAUAUAAAUAGAUAAUUCAGCCAUUAUAAACAAACAAACAAAUUAAAAAAACAACAACUAUUGAUUUGUAUAACGACAUAAACAUAAAAAAGAAUCAAUUCAAAGUUAUCAUAUUUCUCAAUAGGUAACCACUAAAGAACCAAAUUUUGAUAGACUAGAAACAGAUUUUUUGAGGUGAAUAAAAAUACAAUCCUAAGAUAACUAAACAUAUAUACAUGAGAGGCAUUGGACUGUGAUGCAUUCUUAUUUUUUGUUUACAUGUAUUGAUGUUACCUCAAGCAAGAAAAAAUAGAUAUGAAUGAUACUAGGUAACAAAUAGAUAUGAAUACCAUAAACACAAGAGUUAAGACCACCGAUUAUUAUUAAACAUACCAAGUAUUAUUACACAGUAAUGUAGUUUUCUCAAAGAUUUGUCCAAUAUGAGCAAUUCAGUUUAAAGCGAUCAAAAAAAAAGAAAUCUACAAUUAAAAUUAGAAACAAAAAGACAUGAAUGAUGAUUGAUGAAUGUAGUAAUUAAAGUGAUGAACAUCUGUUACAGAUUCAUACAAUUCAAAAUCUUCACUCUAGCUUCCUCUAUCUAUCAAAAAAAAAUUAUUAGUACAUUCGAUCCGUCAUCCAGUUAUUCCAAAGUUCCAUCUUCCAGGUUAGGUAUAUAUGCUCAGUCUGUCUGUUUGAAGAUUUUCUUUUUAAAGAAUUAGGAACAUAUUACACUUAUUAACUCAAAAAAAUUGAUCGAACUGUCUCACACCUGAAUAUGUGCUACGACACUUCUUGAUUAAUGAUUUUCAUUCGAAAUGGUUAUUUUAAGCAUCGUGUCAUGGUUUAAGUUCAUUUUCAUCACUUUGUGACGUGACGACGAAACUAAAAUUUUUAUCCUCUUCUUCGCCUCAGGCAGAAAGUGCCUAUACAUCUUCACUGAUAUACUGUAAAAUCGAAAUCUUGUAUAUAUCUUCUGAAAUUUCAAUUCCCAUGUAUAUCUGAGAUUCAAUGUGUUGGAUUGAAGACUAUAUGUACUUAUACUUUGAUUAUUACAUUUCAAAACAAAAUUAAAGUGAUGAACAUCUGUUACAGAUUCAUACAAUUCAAAUAUAAUUUUCUUUUUUUUUUGUUAAAACACGCUUUUUAAUCAGUCAAAUUUAAACUAAAAAGAAGAAAUGAAAAAACUUAC